GGGAUCUUUGUUCCAGGACCAGGGAUGGAAACUGGACCUCCUGCAUUGGGAGCAUGGAGUCUCAGCCACUGGACCACCAGGGAAGUCCCCAGGUUUCCUUCUUGAGUGACUGCAGCGACAAUGAUGCCAUUCAUCCAGAAUGAGGAACAAACGUGGGGAGCGUGGGCAGAGUGGAGACGGUGCGCUGGUUCUGGUCAACAGGAAGGAUUGCUGGCCCAGCUGGAAGUGAGGAGAGGACUGAGUGCCCUGAGGGCCAUCCUAGAGGCUGCCAGGAUCACCGAACAGUAAGAAACGUUCUCCAUCCUUCAACACGUGGUUAAACCCUCCAGGCUUUCCUGAAGACUCAGAUGGUAAAGAAUCCGACUGCAAUGCAGGACACCCAGGUUUAAUCCCUGGGUUG
rnacentral:lncRNA from 1 species